rnacentral:rRNA from 1 species
GGUAUAGUUCUUCGGAAUUAGAGACCGGCGCACGGGUGCGUAACGCGUAUGCAAUCUACCUUUUACAGAGGGAUAGCCCAGAGAAAUUUGGAUUAAUACCUCAUAGUAUUAUGAAAUGGCAUCAUUUUAUAAUUAAAGUCACAACGGUAAAAGAUGAGCAUGCGUCCCAUUAGCUAGUUGGUAAGGUAACGGCUUACCAAGGCUACGAUGGGUAGGGGUCCUGAGAGGGAGAUCCCCCACACUGGUACUGAGACACGGACCAGACUCCUACGGGAGGCAGCAGUGAGGAAUAUUGGACAAUGGGCGCAAGCCUGAUCCAGCCAUGCCGCGUGCAGGAUGACGGUCCUAUGGAUUGUAAACUGCUUUUAUACAGGAAGAAACCCUGGUUCGUGAACCAGCUUGACGGUACUGUAAGAAUAAGGAUCGGCUAACUCCGUGCCAGCAGCCGCGGUAAUACGGAGGAUCCAAGCGUUAUCCGGAAUCAUUGGGUUUAAAGGGUCCGUAGGCGGUUUAGUAAGUCAGUGGUGAAAGCCCAUCGCUCAACGGUGGAACGGCCAUUGAUACUGCUAAACUUGAAUUAUUAGGAAGUAACUAGAAUAUGUAGUGUAGCGGUGAAAUGCUUAGAGAUUACAUGGAAUACCAAUUGCGAAGGCAGGUUACUACUAAUUGAUUGACGCUGAUGGACGAAAGCGUGGGUAGCGAACAGGAUUAGAUACCCUGGUAGUCCACGCCGUAAACGAUGGAUACUAGCUGUUGGGGGCAACUUCAGUGGCUAAGCGAAAGUGAUAAGUAUCCCACCUGGGGAGUACGUUCGCAAGAAUGAAACUCAAAGGAAUUGACGGGGGCCCGCACAAGCGGUGGAGCAUGUGGUUUAAUUCGAUGAUACGCGAGGAACCUUACCAAGGCUUAAAUGUAGUUUGACCGAUUUGGAAACAGAUUUUUCGCAAGACAAAUUACAAGGUGCUGCAUGGUUGUCGUCAGCUCGUGCCGUGAGGUGUCAGGUUAAGUCCUAUAACGAGCGCAACCCCUGUUGUUAGUUGCCAGCGAGUCAUGUCGGGAACUCUAACAAGACUGCCAGUGCAAACUGUGAGGAAGGUGGGGAUGACGUCAAAUCAUCACGGCCCUUACGCCUUGGGC